CUUACACCUGACAUAGUGUAGCAUUCUAUGUCAGGUGUCAAAUGUAAUAGCAUUACAUACAGUCUGGCGCCUGUCCAGAAUAGGGAGUGGUGCCAAAAUGUCUUCAUUUAAAAGAAAUAUGUCUGUGACUUGAUAAGUAACAGGUAAAAAGUAAAGGUCCUGUAGUGCUUUUACUUGUAGUACUUUAACAUUUUACAGAAGUAAAAUCUUCUCCACAAUCUGCUCUAGGUUCAACUUCUGUGCUCAUUCAUUCUCAAUGCAUAAUAUAACCAGUCCACUCAACCACUCUUGUCCCACUGCACUCCUCAAAUUCAAAAACUUUUGAGCUGAAUGAGCACUUGGCAGUCACAGCUAUGACAAGGAUUGUCACAAAAAGCAGAAAGGCUGUGCACCCAAUUUUUACCUAUGCAAUGAUACAAUAAUGCUAAUCCUAACCAUAACCAAAAUUGGCAUCAUCCUUAAUUUUAUUGCAUUGUUGUGCAUUUUUUGUACAGUUGUCAACUGAGUGCUGAUUGGAGACAUGGAGCUCUGCCCUCCUAUGGCCGCAGACACAGCUUCUUCUCUACUACUGAUUUAUCACCUCUCUUUUGUUCCUUUCUCACGCGGUUUAUCUAAGAACCAAAAUGCAGAACACAAGGAAGUGGUACUUGGAUUGUGGUAGCAACAGUUUUUAUUUUAACACUGCAAGCAUUCACAGGUGGAUAUGAGCUCUUCCAGAGCAGCGAAUCCGGUGUAGUCCACUGUAGCCAGACAGGACGUAAUAGGCCUGGUCCUAGAAGAAACGGCAAGGCUCCGGGGAUGGAGACGAUGAGUGUAGUUUCUGGCUUGGCUCUUGUAGCGUGAUUGGCAGAGCAGGAAAGGCAGCUGGCUCGUGUGGUGAGGCAGGCUGGACAGGAAAGGCAGCUGGCUCAUGUGGUGAGGCAGGCAGGAUAGGAAAGGCAGCUGGCUUGUGUAGCGUGGCUGUGAUCACCAACAGGGAACAGCUCUGUGGCAGAGACAGAAAAAGAGAGGCAACAAUAGUGAGUAACUGCAACUUAACUUUGGUCGAGGUAGGAGCCGUGAUGAAGGUAUCAUAUAAGUGUACAGAGACGAUCUGGCACUGGUAGUGUGGUAGAGCCUGGUAGAUAUAGUGUGGAGACUGAUUGGAUGAUGGACGUCAGGUGUGCUGGUAAUCAGCAGCAGGAGGGCGGACCAGGGAGCCAGACCAGUAUACAAAUACACACACACACACACACAGCGACGAACAGUGGACAGACAAGGAACACAGCGAAAGUAGAGCACACUAGAGCACACAAGGGUCAGGAGGGAGAUGUGGCUUACUAUGACAAAACUAGGAAUAUAUAGUGAUCUGUGGUGUCAAAAGAUGCACUGAGAUGGAUUACUGGAGUAAGUGGAGUAAUAGAAGCAUCAAGGUGGAAUCUGAAUCCAUCAGGGGUGGAAGUAACGAAUUACAAUACUCCUGUUACUGUAAUUAAGUCAUUUUUUAGGGCACUUGUACUUUUAUGAGAAUUUUUUCAAGCUUGUAAUUCUACUCUUACUCAACUUUGCAUUACACUAUGUAAUCUACUUCGCUACUUUUAAAAUCAUAAUUCGCUAAAUACAAAGUAUUGAAUUAUUACUACAAUUUGAAUUAUAUCCAAACCUUUCAUCUGCAUUUUUGUAGCCAAUAAGGCUAUCAACCAAUCGCAAACGGGUCAAUGAAAACCAUGAAAUAUGGAUGGAAAAAAAUGCUGCAGCAGGCACAGGUUUGGAGAGGUAAUCACACUGACCAGAACAGUGCAGAAGUUGGGAGUAAUUUAGGGACUGAAGAUUUGGAGAAACAGAAACCAAAUGGAGAGAGAGGACAACAUCAUUGAAAACAGUGUAAAUGAUGAAGAAAAGAUGGAGGACAAGUGCCCAUGGCUGCACCUGGAAGAAUUCUUCACGUACAGGGGGAGAAAUGCAGAUAGCAUGAAAAUGCAAUGGAAACUUUGCUUUGUUUUGUGAUAAUGGCUUACAAGAAUACAGCCUCUACUCUCAAAAAACACAUUGAGCAGCACGUCAAGGAAAGCCACACCAAACAACCUCUCAGCAAGUAAGCAAGAAACUGUGUCCCACAAGCAACUGUUGACAAGCUUGUCAUCAAUUUCAUAUGUGAAAGUCUACAGCCAUUUGCAGUGGUAGAACAGCCAGCUUUCAAAGAAUUAGUAACCACAUUGCAACCUAAAGCCAAAGUCAUCUCCAGACCCACUGUCCAUACUACAAUAUGUGAAGCUGCUGAUCACAUUUGGAAGACUAUGAUUGCAGAUUUGGCUAAAGUCAAAUUUGUUGCUACCAUGCACCGUGCAACCUUUGCAAAAUGCCAGGACAUUUGGAACAAAACUGGGUGAUCUCAUUAGGCUUGUCAAUUGGUAGAGGACAAGUGUGAGCUACAGAUCACUUGCCACAAUUGCAACAUGGUGGAAUUCAACUUACCUUGCCACUGAAAGGAUAAUACAUCGAUGAGAAUGGGGAAGAUGUCAUCAGGAGGGUUUGUGAAGAGUUCAAGGUGAAAAUGUUGAGUCCUGCAGAAGUUGCAUUCCUCAGGGAGUAUUGUACCAUCAUGAAGCCACUGCUGAAAGCUUCAACCAUCCUCUAGUCAGGAGGAUGGUUCCUCCAGCUCCUGCAUGGGAUGGCUUCUGCCAGUAAUCCACCAGUUACUAUCCAAACUUACCAGGCUGGAGACAUCAAGCAAGACCUACAUGCCACUCAUCAGAGCCCUGCAAAAUGACCUGCAGAGGUGUUUGGACAGAUAUCGGAGGAUCCAGAGAUGGCUUCACCUGCAGUCCUCUUACUCAAGUUCAAGACCUCCUGGACUGAUAGAGCAGAUGUAAUAAAGGCUGUUACAGGCCUGACAUAUGUGAAACAACAUCUUGAUAUGAUGGAUCAUGAGCAUGUGCCACAGCAAAGAGAGUCAUCUGAUGACCUUGAUUUCUUCUCCAGACCAACCCCCAGAAAGUCACAACGUCCAGUUGAGCUUGACAGUUAUCUUGCUUGUGCCACAGACAGCAUGGAACUGCUUCACUCCUUUCCAGCCAUUAAGAAGCUCUCCCUCAAGCUGAACACAGCUCUGCCUGCCUCUGCUGCAUGUGAAUGGCUUUUUAGCUGUGCUGGUCUACAUCCAAACGAAGCCAAAUACACUUUGUUAACUUGUUAAAUCAGCUCCUGCUGAAACUGAAGAAAAGGUUCAGAAAGUGAACUGUGAAAGAUAUGCUAGCAUGUCUAAGAGUAUUUACACUGCAAUUAGGUCCUUGCCUGGCUGUUUGUUUGCAGUGCAUUGGGAGAAAUUUACACUAAUUACAUGUGUUCUACGGAGGUUCAAAAACAUUUUAGUAUGCUUUUAACAGACAAACGUCCUGCAUUAUCUGUAAAUGUAUUUAGAAAACAAAUAGCCUUAGUUUGAUCCAUUCAUACCUUUUAUCAUUUAUCAGAGAAAUGUACUUUGUUGAAAGUAGAUAUUUUCUACAUGGA